UAGACAACGUGGAUAUAUUCUGGGCAAGCACUAUUCAAUAGCAUUUAAAAAGCCAGAAGCAAAGAGCACGCGUCAGUACCCAUCACAACAAUUAAUGCACAUGUAUCCAGCCAAAAGCAUUUGAAAGAGUAGUGAUUUGGAAGCUACAAGCAUGUACACAUCUCGUUCGAAUCCGUGUUCAUAGUCGGUCAUCACAUCACAGUCACAGCUAGCUCCUAGCUAGCCUCCUAUUUAGAAAGUUGGAACCGCAUGCAUCCACGGCCUCUUGCGUUUCCUGGAGCUUUCGGCCUCGUUUCCGGCCAAUCAGUUAACACAACACACAGCUGCCUCGCGGUUUCGCACAACACAUACAGUGCUUCGCUAUCGCUACUUCAGAAAGGUGACUGGAGGACGGUGAGCCACUCAGCUCAGGAUGAGAGCCGUACGCCGUCGCCCACUGUAUUUCGUCGACCUUUCCACUUGGUUCCCGGGCAGCAAAUAACAUCUAUCUCUGCAUCUCUAUAUAAACAGCCCUACCGGUAAUUAAGAAGAAGAACGAGGUACGCAACCAACCACCACCACACCGGCCACCUCCUGGAUAUCAUUCACCACUUGUUCGCUUCGUUCAUCCCAUCUUCAGACAUCAUCCGUAGCUAGCGGACACCUGCCUACAUUAUUAGGUGCUGUGUGAUCACCAUCAGUUGGUGGGGGUGCAUCGCGGGGCAUGUUCUAUCUCUCAGCAGAUACCUGCAGAUCAGCUUCUGACCAGUACUGUGUCCUCUCUAAUGGGGGAAAUGGUGGCUUCAGCCCUUGCUCAGGAGGGCGUGAGCAGGCUGUCCUCGUACAUCUCAACCAAGCUCGAUGACAGGGCAUCCAGAGCGCACAUCGUCGCUAGGCUCGAGAUGGCACUCUAUCGCUUGGAGUUUGCCCUUGAGAGGACCGCCAAGAUGCCAAUCACAUACGUCUCGCUGCUCCGCUAGAGUACAACUUGACUAGCGCAUCCGACGAGUUAUCGCAUUUAUUCCAAGAGCAAACUAUUUUAUUCGGUU